GGAGAGGUGGCAGAGUGGUUGAAUGUACCUGACUCGAAAUCAGGCUUGCGGUAACGCAACGGGGGUUCGAAUCCCCCCCUCUCCUCCA
rnacentral:tRNA from 1 species